rnacentral:siRNA from 1 species
UCUGUGUUGAUUGAUGAGAAGCUU